UGGGUGGGUGGUUCAGUCAGUCCGACUAUUGGUUUUGAUCAGGUCAUGAUCUCAGCGUUCAUGACUCCAAGCCCCACAUCGGGCUCUGUGCUGGCGGUGUGGAGUCUGCUUGGGAUUCUCUCUCCUUCUCUCUCUCUCUUUCCACCUCUCUCUGCACCCCCUGCUUGUGCACACGCUCUCUCUCUUGCUCUCUCUCUUAAAAAUAAAUAAAUAAACAUGAAAAAAACUAACUUUCUAGCCUGAUUUUAUUUUUUUUUUUAACGUUUAUUUAUUUUUGAGACAGAGAGAGACAGAGCAUGAACAGGGGAGGGUCAGAGAGAGAGAGGGAGACACAGAAUCUGAAACAGGCUCCAGGUUCUGAGCUGUCAGCACAGAGCCCGACGCGGGGCUUGAAUUCACCAACCGCGAGAUCAUGACCUGAGCCGAAGUCGGACGCUUAACCCACUGAGCCACUCAGGCACCCCUCUAUCCUGAUUUUAAAACAAAACAGCAACAACAAACAAGCAAUCAUGGCAGCCAGGAGUCAGCAUACGUCUUCUUGUUUCUAUGCUUCUAUGUCUACUGCUUGUCAAGCUGCUAUUGUAAGGCUGCCUUAAAGGUUCCCCUUAAGAACCAGAGGCAGAUGUUUUCUGAAAACUUUUCUAUGAGCUAAUUAGGCAAUAUGAGAAGAUACAGACCUUUGUGUUAAGAAAAUUUGUCAUAAAGGUGACACUCCUUCUGGUGAAGAAGGAGUCGGACUCUUGUUCUACGUAUAUCAGAGUUAUUUAAAAUUAGAAGCAAGCAAGUAGUUAAUGACUAGCUUCUUCCGCUGAACCUGGAUCAUGACACAAUUAAGUCAAGAGAAUAUCAAGUAGGGAUAAUUUCUCUCAGUUACAGAACAAGUGAAGUAUUAUAAGGAUUUAUGCCACUUCUUUAAAUAACCGAAUCCGAUGAUUCGAGAGCUUGAAUUUGAUUAUGUACUUGUGACCAGAAUCCCAUUUUUGUACCUACUCUACUGAAAAUACAACACCUCCUUAUGUUUCUGCUUUGCCAUGAAGUGUCUCCAUAGAACUUAGUCAAAUUCUGAAUGUCUGUUCCCUUUCAUUUUAGAAUAUUUUGCUUAUUCACUCUCAGAGUUGGUUUAUGAGUGAUGCGUAAAUUGGCUUUAUUCUGUGCCGUCUGAUUUGGGAUAUUUCAGGACUUCAAAGAGUUUAUAAAACCAAAUGAAAGCCUUGGUGGUACACUGUGAAUAAGGGGCAAGGGAAGAUUCUUGGUUGAAAAGGGUACCUCUAAGUUGAGGCCACCCCACCCCCACGGGUCAGAAAAAAAGGAACGGUGUGCUCAGAAAUGAUGAAAGAUCUUGAACUAAAGAUCCAAUUUGCUCCACAAAUCGGAGCAAUAAAGAGCAACCAUAUAUUCGCUGCCAACAGAAGGUAUGCCCUGUCUUCAGAUGGUUAGCAGAAGUUUUCUAUGUUCCAGACCCGUCAGAUGAAAGGGAGAACAGGAAAGGAGCCUGCAACGUGUGAACAGAGGAUGACACGAUCCACACAUAUGAGAGAGAUUUUUCUGUGGAAUAACCUACACCCAAAGUCUUAACAAGAAGAUGAACUGAAUUCAAACAAGGCCCAGUCACUCCCACAUCACUAAAGCACAAGCUGGAGAAACCCCCCACAGAAGCAAAGGUAGAUCUUUUAGUAAAUAUACUACCUACCAUUCAACUCAGUUCACUCUCCAUUGUGCAUGGAUUAAUUUAUCAUUUGGACAAGUUUUACACCAGCAACUGUGACUAUUCACUAGAGAGUCAUGCACACUCAUGAAUUCUUUCGGCAGAGCUUUGUUCUCCGGUCUUAUCUGGAUCGUGACAAUAGUACUGUGAGGGGAAAUACACCCAAGAUAUCAGUUGGUACCAAGGCAGAAAGACAUUGCUAAGUGAUGGUUUGGUUCAGUGUGGACAUUUUUAUACCUCUUAUUACUCUGGGUCCUAACUCCAAUGAGGCAAAGCUCGUCCCUUCCUCUGCAUCUAAACUGUGAGGGGAGAAGAAAGAGUCUAGAUAUAAUUUUCUCUCUCUUGUAUACAUAAGAAUAUAUAUAUGUAUAUAUAUAUAUAUAUAUAUAUAU